GCGCUCCUGGUUCCUAACGUACUACUCGCUUGCAUUUUUACUUCCUUCUUCAUUAAUUCAUCCAGUAGGCUGUGCAACGGUGGGAGGCGGUUUAUAACCUUUUGUCGACGGGAACUAGGAAGUCCCGUUGUCAUGGGCACGGAUUGGGUCGCCAAUUUCGCGCAGAUCUUGCGACGGAUUGGUGGGUUGCGAGAAACCGACCAAUCGGCUCACGGAGCUGCGCAGUCCGGGGCAGUAGCGGCUCGGUGAGAACGCGACCUUCCUCUGGCGGUGUCACUCAACAGGCUCGGCAAUUUUCACUGUGUCGCAACUGAGCUGACGACAGCGGCUCACCUUUAAGCUUCUUUUACAGCAGCACGUCAGACCUGCGGUGUAAUGGAAAAUGGAUAAAGGCCAGCCCAAGUUGUAAGUCACUUCCUCUGUGAGCUCACCUGGUUGGAACAGGGCACUCUGGAUCUGUGCCCCAAGCAGGAAAAACAGACUUCCAUGUGACAGUGCUGUAACUGGCCUGUUUCCUUGCAAUGCUGUACUAGGAAAAACAGUCUCAGAAAAUGGAUAAAGGCAGGCAUGUGAUACCCUCUACACUCAAGACACUGGAAGACUGUUCUGCAUGGAGCUGGCACGGUGGUAAGCGGUCCUGGAUGUGAAUUCUGCACCCAGCAGCAGUUGACUGCGUCUAUCCCUGCCGCUGCUUCGAAGGUACUGAACCUGCUCAACGAAAAAGGCUUUGUGUUCUUUUAAUCUGAAGAAAGGAGCGUUAACCUGUGUGCGGAAGAAAACCCCCUAUUUUUGAAUAAAGCCUCAAGACUGUUCCUGCCUUCUUGGCAAUAAAGUUAUUCUUUCCUUGGAAACCUGGUCUCGCCUUCCUUCAUGUAAAUCUGCGACCCAAACUUGACAGUAUGUAUUCACAUACAGUGGUGGAAUAUUAAAGUGUUCAUAAUUCUUGUUAUUAUGAUUGGUUGUUCAGCAAUCUAAUAACCUGUGGGUAGAUAUGUUCCUUGAAUCUACUUGUGUGAGUGCCAGUGGCACAGUACUGUUUGUCAGAAGAAAGGACUGAACAAAGCCACUGUGCAGUGUGGCUAACAUCUUUAAUAACGCUGUUUGCCUUCCUAAAGUACGAAGUGUUGUGCAUGUCCCAAACAGAAGGCAGUUGGUUGCCAGUAAUAUUCUGGUUGCACCGUAACCACCCUCGGCAGUGCUUUACAUUCUCGAUCAGGUGUCAUACCAGGAUGUGAUGCAGCAAGUGAGGAUGGACUCUACUGUGCACAUAUAGACAUUCAAGAAAACAAAUGGAAAAAUGUAAGCUAUCCUCAGAUAUCUGAGGAAGUAGAGGAAUUGUUGAUUUUAUGACAAGAGAGAAAAUGUGUUGUACACACCUCACUUCAACAGUCAUGGUCACUCCAAAAAAUAUAAAGCAGCUCAACAGAUCUGGUCUUCCUUCUGCUUCCCAGCUAAGACCUGGUUCAAGUUCAUUU